AAACAGCCUUCAUGGCGCAGUUGGACAGCCAUCUACCUCAGCUGACAUCUGUCUUCCAGAAGAAGGGAGGAGUUGUUGGCCAGAAACUAGCCAAACAUUUGGCGAUCUUGCAAAAGUGAUGUUAACCUUAAAAGGGAAGCAAUCCUCAAGGCACGUUGCAUCCACCUUGGUGAGGAUGAUGGACAUCUCAUUCGGGAGUAUAGACAUCGAAGGAGAUGACGUCACCAGAGACCUGCAGAAAUCUACCAUGGGCAUAUAUGUCAUCAACAAGGAGGGUGGAGAACCUGGACAUUAUGACGACGUUGGGAUUUUUGUUGAAGGACUAAUCAUUCUGGACAACAUUGGAUCUGUAGACCGAGCUUGUGCCAUCAUGCUGGGAGUCAUCUAUACACUGAACAUGGCUUACCCCAAAGAGCUAAGGUACUACUAUGAAUUCAUUCAGAAAAUGCUCUUGCAAAUGGAUGGUGAAAGGCUUUCUCCCAAAGUCCUUGGACUGAAGAACAAGAUACAUGCUGGACUGUAGGAUUUCUUCAGCCGCUCUUGUGAACCGAUGCCAUUAAAGCAUUACAAAAACACCAGUCAAACCUCAAAGGUUGGGAGAAGAAUGUGGACAUCUUGAUGGACUUGGAAGACAUUUGUUUAAUGUAUUAGUGUGAGGAAGGUUACAUCCUCCUCAGCUGUUUAAGUCACAGGCUUCAUGUUACGUCAGGAUUUAUUCGCUAUGUCUGUUUCCACUGCAUUUUGUUGCAUUUAGUUUUGAUCGAAACGGCAACAUUUUCUACCUUAGCCAAGCGUAAAAACAUUUUAUUUUUAUAUUGGCCAUUUACAUCUAGUUCAGGAGAAGAAUGUGAAAAUGUUGAUGGAAAUAUUACAUUUAUAAUGACAUUUCUUUCAUGUAUUAAUGUGAGGAAGGUUACAUCCUCCUCAGCUGUUUAAGUCACAUGCUUCAUGUUAUGUCAGGAUGUAUUCGCUAAGUCUGUUUCCACUGCACUUUGCUGUCAUGGCCUCCACAUCUGCCUAGUCUGUG